UCUUGUAACUUUAAAAAUCGU
rnacentral:piRNA from 1 species